rnacentral:rRNA from 1 species
GAUGAACGCUAGCUACAGGCUUAACACAUGCAAGUCGCAGGGUAACAUGAGGAAAGCUCGCUUUCCUUGAUGACGACUGGCGCACGGGUGAGUAACGCGUAUCCAACCUUCCCAUAACUACGGGCUAACCCGUUGCAAGACGGCCUAAUACCGUAUGAUAUCGUUUGCUGACAUCAAAUAACGAUUAAAGGUUUAGCGGUUAUGGAUGGGGAUGCGUCUGAUUAGCUUGUUGGCGGGGUAACGGCCCACCAAGGCGACGAUCAGGAGGGGUUAUGAGAGGAAGGUCCCCCACAUUGGAACUGAGACACGGACCAAACUCCUACGGGAGGCAGCAGUGAGGAAUAUUGGUCAAUGGGGGAGAGCCUGAACCAGCCAAGUAGCGUGCAGGACGACGGCCCUAGGGGUUGUAAACUGCUUGUAUGUGGGGAUAAAGUGCGUGACGUGUCAUGCAUUGCAGGUACCAAAUGAAUAAGGACCGGCUAAUUCCGUG